rnacentral:lncRNA from 1 species
CGGAUCAUAUUCGGUUAUUCGGGUAGGAUCAUAUUAUGAAAAGUUAUAUGAGCCCGAAUCUGAGCGGGUAUAGGUGUGCUCGUAUCCGGGAUCAUAUAUUAUACGGGCUUAAUUUUUCCGCCAGAUUUGGAUCGUUUUCAAAACGAAUAUGAGACAUGUAUCAUAUUUUCGAGCCGGAUAUGAGCCGAGACACCGGAUAGUCUGUAUCGAUUUACAGCCCUAUAUGCAACUGAAAACCUGCACCUGUUAGGUGUGACAUGGGACGGGCACGUACUUCUCGGCUCUCUCUACAUAUAUGAUAUACUCCCUCCGUCCCAAUAGGUAGUAUACAUUUGGUGUGGACACGGAGACCAAGAAAAAGUGUAAAAAAUGAGUAAAGUUAGAUGAAAAGUGAGUAAAGUGGCGGGACUCAUAUAUAUUUAAUUAUAGAUGUGUGAUUGUGGGGAAAGCAGUGGGUGUAAUAGUGUUUAUAUUAUUAUAAAAUGAAGACAGUGGAAAAAGUAGUUGGUGUAAUAGUGUUUUACAUUAUUAAAAGUUGUUAUUUUAAGAAUGUAUAGAAAUGAUGGGACGUCCCAAAGAGGAAACUGUAUAGAAACGAUCGGGACGGAGAGAGUAUGAAUUAAAAGAGUCAAGUUUUGGAAUACAAUGCUCCCAAAAAAAUUGUUCGACGUACAAUUUACAACAGAAGUGGUGACACAUAUUUCCUUUGUUUUUAAAUAUCUGUUUCUAAGCUGUGGAUUAAAGCACUUAUUAAAGUAGUCAAGUGCUGCCCAUUAUUGUUUCGAUGAAUAAAGUAUUCUCAAGCGUAACUAAGUGAGGGUUCAAAAAUUGUUCAAAAGCUGUACAUAAAACAAGAAUUAGUUAACGGUAGAUGCAGUGGGUCAACUAUUAUUCGACACAAAGCGUUUUGGUAUGGAAGUAUACGCUCACAUUAGUUGUGUGUUUCUGUCACAUCUCACAUGCACCGGUCAUUGUUAUUCAUCUACUAAUAAUCAGCAUGACUAAACUACUGUAAUGUUUUCUUGUUUGUAUGGCUUUUGAUAAGUUUGUUGGGGGAAGUUGAACCUGCGCAACUGCUAUAAAUUCGACUCUCUUUAGGGCUGUUUCUGUUCCAUUCCGAUAUCCAGACGCGAAAAGUUUCAAUAGUAAAGGUGUUUAGUUGAAAAAAAUAAAUUUCAUAAAAUAUAUAAAUAUCAUCAUACUUGAGAAUUUGUAUAUAUGAAAAUUAGUGCUUCUAUUCGAAAGUUAAUUUUUAUAUCCAACCACACAAAAACUUAAAUAUGAUUUAAUUUGUAACAAAUUAAGGCUGCUUAUUUGAAUAGUAAAGGUCCGUGCUAUGCGU